GUGAAACAGAAGACCCACCCUGGGCUUCAUACCUUCACAUCCAAACACUGUGCAAUGCCUGGGUGAAAGCACCUCUUUGUGGGUGUCUACUAGCCCCUUUUUUUUUCAUACAAACACAAGUAACUGUAUGUGUUAUGUCAUAACAAGUA
rnacentral:misc_RNA from 1 species